rnacentral:rRNA from 1 species
UCGAGGAUCUUCCACAAUGGGCGAAAGCCUGAUGGAGCGACGUCGCGUGAUGGACGAAGUGCUUCGGCACGUAAACAUCUUUUAUGUGGGAUGAAAUUAUUGACAGUACCACAUGAAUAAGGGGCUCCUAACUCUGUGCCAGCAGGAGCGGUAAUACAGAGGCCCCAAGCGUUAUCCGGAAUCACUGGGCGUAAAGGGUGUCGAGGCGGUUGUAUUAGUCGUUCGUAAAAUCUACGAGCUUAACUUGUAGGCGGCGAACGAAACGGUACGACUUGAGGUUUGGAGAGGUGCGUGGAACUCACGGUGUAGGGGUGAAAUCCGUUGAUAUCGUGGGGAACACCAAAGGCGAAGGCAGCGCACUGGCCAAAAUCUGACGCUCACACACGAAAGCUAGGGUAGCGAAGAGGAUUAGAUACCCCAGUAGUCCCUGAGCGGGCUGGCAAGGCGCAU